ensembl:lncRNA
CUACCACAGAGUAACUCUGAAGGCAAAAGUCAUUGGUGACAGGGCCAGAAGGAGAGAAAGAAGAAUGGAGGAAAAGCUAAAGAGGUAUUCUAUAGGAGCAACCAACAAGAAAAAGUGCCAAAUGGGGAGACAGAGGUGCUCCCAGCCACCUUCUUCAGUCUACUGGGCAUUUGGAAGACAGUCCUCUUUUGAUUUGCCAUGAAUAAGCCUCUUAUGCUAAGCUCCAAAGAGAUGCAAACACAAAGAUAAGUUCAUUUCCUCUCCUUACAGAACAUAACUUUUCUUACAGUAGUUCAAUAGCUACUUCGUAUGGUGUUAUUCUGAGUGAGUACAUGAACUCUCAUUGAAUGGAGAACCAGUUUCCUUCAGAUGCUGAACCUGAACUCUGUAUCUAGGAAAUGUUCUAGGACAAUUCAGGCCAACUUUACCUCCAG